GUGCCAGCAGCCGCGGUAAUACGGAGGGUGCAAGCGUUGUCCGGAUUUAUUGGGUUUAAAGGGUGCGUAGGCGGCUGUUUAAGUCAGUGGUGAAAGACUCCGGCUCAACCGGAGCAGUGCCAUUGAUACUGGAUAGCUUGAGUAUUGGAGGGGUACAUGGAAUUGAUGGUGUAGCGGUGAAAUGCAUAGAUACCAUCAGGAACACCGAUAGCGAAGGCAUUGUACUGGCCAAUAACUGACGCUGAUGCACGAAAGCAUGGGUAGCGAACAGGAUUAGAUACCCUGGUAGUCCAUGCCGUAACGAUGAUUACUCGCUGUUAUGCCCUUGUGGUGUAGCGGCCAAGCGAAAGCGUUAAGUAAUCCACCUGGGGAGUACGCUCGCAAGAGUGAAACUCAAAGGAAUUGACGG
rnacentral:rRNA from 1 species